GCGUGCAGGAAGAAGGCCUUCGGGUUGUAAACUGCUUUUGUCAGGGAAGAAAUCUUCUGGGCUAAUACCCCGGGAGGAUGACGGUACCUGAAGAAUAAGCACCGGCUAACUACGUGCCAGCAGCCGCGGUAAUACGUAGGGUGCGAGCGUUAAUCGGAAUUACUGGGCGUAAAGCGUGCGCAGGCGGCUUUGCAAGACAGAUGUGAAAUCCCCGGGCUCAACCUGGGAACUGCAUUUGUGACUGCAAGGCUAGAGUACGGCAGAGGGGGAUGGAAUUCCGCGUGUAGCAGUGAAAUGCGU
rnacentral:rRNA from 1 species